UAAUACGGAGGAUCCAAGCGUUAUCCGGAUUUAUUGGGUUUAAAGGGUGCGUAGGCGGCUUAUUAAGUCAGGGGUGAAAGACGGUGGCUCAACCAUCGCAGUGCCCUUGAUACUGAUGAGCUUGAAUGAACUAGAGGUAGGCGGAAUGUGACAAGUAGCGGUGAAAUGCAUAGAUAUGUCACAGAACACCGAUUGCGAAGGCAGCUUACUAUGGUUUUAUUGACGCUGAGGCACGAAAGCGUGGGGAUCAAACAGGAUUAGAUACCCUGGUAGUCCACGCCCUAAACGAUGAAUACUCGCUGUUAGCGAUAUACAGUUAGCGGCUAAGCGAAAGCGUUAAGUAUUCCACCUGGGGAGUACGCCCGCAAGGGUG
rnacentral:rRNA from 1 species